UAUUACACAAUGAUAAAGAGGAGUAGUAUUAAAGUUUUUUAAGAGAAACCAUGUUUGGUGCAAAUGGUUAAAGCUUUAGUAUGAAUGGCGCUUUUGAGUGUUAUUUGAGAAAGUAGGGCUAAUGCCAAAAAGGGUGGAACCGCGGAAUUUUUCGUCCCUUUG
rnacentral:ncRNA from 1 species